rnacentral:rRNA from 1 species
UUUGAAUAAUUUUAUUAUAAAAUAUAGUAAGAAUUAUUUUAAUUGGGGCGAUUAACAAAAAUAAAAAACUUUGUUUUUCUUUAAAAAAGAACCAUUAUUAUUGGUCUUAUGGAAAAAUACUCUAGGGAUAACAGCGUAAUAAUUUUUAAUAGUUCAUAUAGACAAAAUAGUUUGCGACCUCGAUGUUGGAUUAGGAUUCUUAGCUAAUGAAGAAGUUAGUUAAAGAAGUUUGUUCAACUUUUAAAUUCCUACA